AGUAACACGUGGGUAACCUGCCCCGAUGAUUGGGACAACCCGAGGAAACUCGAGCUAAUACCGAAUGUGCCCUCCGGCCGCAAGGCCGCUGGGGAAAGGAAGCUUCGGCCUCCGCAUCGGGAUGGGCCCGCGGCCCAUUAGCUUGUUGGUGAGGUAACGGCUCACCAAGGCUACGAUGGGUAGCUGGUCUGAGAGGACGAUCAGCCACACUGGGACUGAGACACGGCCCAG
rnacentral:rRNA from 1 species